rnacentral:rRNA from 1 species
UGGGGAUGACGUCAAGUCAGCAUGGCCUUUAUGUCCAGGGCUACACACACGCUACAAUGGUCUGUACAGUGGGUAGCCAAGCCGCGAGGCGGAGCCAAUCCUGAAAGCAGGCCUCAGUUCAGAUUGCAGUCUGCAACUCGACUGCAUGAAGCCGGAGUUGCUAGUAACCGCAGGUCAGCAAUACUGCGGUGAAUACGUUCCCGGGUCUU